CCCUUAGAUGUCCUGGGCAGCACGCGCGUUACACUGAUGCAUUCAACGAGCUUAUAACCUUGGCCGAGAGGCCUGGGCAAUCUUGUUAACGUGCAUCGUGAUAGGGAUAGAUUAUUGAAAUUAUUAAUCUUGAACGAGGAAUUCCUAGUAAACGCAGAUCAUCAAUCUGCAUUGAUUACGUCCCUGCCCUUUGUACACACCGCCCGUCGCACCUACCGAUUGGAUGGUCCGGUGAAGCCUCGGGAUUGUGGUUCUUGCCGCUUUAUUGUGGCGUGACCGCGAGAACUUGUCUAAACCUUAUCAUCUAGAGGAAGGUGAAGUCGUAACA
rnacentral:rRNA from 1 species